GAUGAACGCUGGCGGCGUGCCUAAUACAUGCAAGUCGAACGAAACUUCUUUAUCACCGAGUGCUUGCACUCACCGAUAAAGAGUUGAGUGGCGAACGGGUGAGUAACACGUGGGCAACCUGCCCAAAAGAGGGGGAUAACACUUGGAAACAGGUGCUAAUACCGCAUAACCAUAGUUACCGCAUGGUAACUAUGUACAAGGUGGCUAUACUACCGCUUUUGGAUGGGCCGGCGGCGCAUUAGCUAGUUGGUAGGGUAUAGGCUUACCAAGGCAAUGAUGCGUAGCCCAAUUGAGAGGUUGAUCGGCCACAUUGGGACUGAGACACGGCCCAAACUCCUACGAGAGGCAGCAGUAGGGAAUCUUACGCAAUGGGCGAGAGCCUGAUGGAGCAACGCCGCGUGGGUGAAGAAGGUCUUCGGAUCGUAAAGCCCUGUUGUUAGAGAAGAAAGUGCGUGAGAGUAGCUGUUCACGUUUUGACGGUAUCUAACCAGAAAGCCACGGCUAACUACGUG
rnacentral:rRNA from 1 species